GCUUAGCCGUAAACUUUGAUGCUAACAUACAACUAGCAUCCGCCAGGGGACUACAAGCGCCAGCUUAAAACCCAAAGGACUUGGCGGUGCCUCAAACCCACCUAGAGGAGCCUGUUCUUGAAUUGAUACUCCCCGUUCAACCUCACCACCCCUUGUCCGACCCGCCUAUAUACCGCCGUCGUCAGCUUACCCUGUGAAGGUCUCAUAGUAAGCAAAAUGGGCACAGCCCAGAACGUCAGGUCAAGGUGCAGCGAAUGGGGUGGGAAGAAAUGGGCUACAUUCCCUAAUAUAGGGUACUACGGAUAGCGCUGUGAAAACAGCCCUUGAAGGUGGAUUUAGCAGUAAGAAGAAAAUAGAGUGUUCUUCUGAACUCGGCUCUGAGGCGCGC
rnacentral:rRNA from 1 species